AAUACCAGGAUGUCAUAGAAUCAUAGAAUAUGCUGAGUUGGAAGGGACCCAUCAAGAUCAUCAAGUCCAACUCCUGGCCCUGUGCAGGAUACCCCAAAAAUCCACACCAUGUGCCUGAGAGUGUUGUCAAAACACCUCUUGAAGUCAGGCAAGCUUAGUGCCGUGACCACUUCCCUGGGGAGCCUGUUCCAAUAGUCAACUACUCUCCAGGCAUCCAGGUAGAACCUUGUUUUUCUCAUUUGCUGGAUCAGCCAUUUGGGAGUGAAGGGCCUGCUGAUUUCAGGAGUGCUAAGAUUAAAAAGCAUAAAUGAAAAACAUGUGGUCUGGUCAAGUGAUUCCAAUGAUACCUGAGCGAAGCCAUAUUACCCAGUUGCAAGGAAAAACAUCAGAUGAAGCCGAGCAAGGCCAAUCCAGGACAGCCCACCCAGUACAACCUCUGUUGCUACUUGUUUGAUAUAAAACUACACAUAGUCAUUCUCUUCAGCCGUCUUUCCUCCCAAGACUUUCUGUGGGUCAAUGAGUUUCCUACCAGACCAAGGGUGUCAUGCAGUUUAUGGCACAUUGUGCCCUGUGAGGAAUCCAGCUCAUUCCUCCACUGAGAGACACCUCUGAAAACACACUCAUGGCCAGAACAAGGGAAGACCAGUGCACUUUCUCCAUAAAUGAGCUGCAGCCAGGCUGCUUCCAGCAGGUUAUGAGCCUGUCUCCUCUGUGGCAGAUGUGGGAUGCAGUUCUUGUGCAAUGUGGGUUAGAGCUUCAUGUGCUCUUCUACAGUCUUCGGGCACCUUUCCCCAGCACAGCCCAACAGAUAUUACAAGGCACAACCUAUCUCUGAUACAAAUCAAAUGGUUAAUCUGCUGUCGUACAACUUCUAUAAAUUUUAUUUACUUUUUUUUUUCCUGGCUCAACAAAUAUACACAAACUAAGGAAGACUGGCCAGACUCUAAGACUAUGCAUGUUUAAUAAUUUCUGGUGUCUCUAGCUGAUUUGGUGCAUUGCUGUGUUUUGCAUCCGAAAAGAGUCAUGAUAUAGCUAAGAGGUGAUUAAGCCCAGGACUUUGUGUAGCAUACUGUAUGCAGGCAAGUGGAACAUUUAUACUGAAAGAAAGCGGUUUUC